rnacentral:rRNA from 1 species
UGCAGUCGAACGAUGAAGCCCAGCUUGCUGGGUGGAUUAGUGGCGAACGGGUGAGUAACACGUGAGUAACCUGCCCUUAACUCUGGGAUAAGCCUGGGAAACUGGGUCUAAUACCGGAUAGGAGCGUCCACCGCAUGGUGGGUGUUGGAAAGAUUUAUCGGUUUUGGAUGGACUCGCGGCCUAUCAGCUUGUUGGUGAGGUAAUGGCUCACCAAGGCGACGACGGGUAGCCGGCCUGAGAGGGUGACCGGCCACACUGGGACUGAGACACGGCCCAGACUCCUACGGGAGGCAGCAGUGGGGAAUAUUGCACAAUGGGCGAAAGCCUGAUGCAGCGACGCCGCGUGAGGGAUGACGGCCUUCGGGUUGUAAACCUCUUUCAGUAGGGAAGAAGCGAAAGUGACGGUACCUGCAGAAGAAGCACCGGCUAACUACGUGCCAGCAGCCGCGGUAAUACGUAGGGUGCGAGCGUUAUCCGGAAUUAUUGGGCGUAAAGAGCUCGUAGGCGGUUUGUCGCGUCUGUCGUGAAAGUCCGGGGCUUAACCCCGGAUCUGCGGUGGGUACGGGCAGACUAGAGUGCAGUAGGGGAGACUGGAAUUCCUGGUGUAGCGGUGGAAUGCGCAGAUAUCAGGAGGAACACCGAUGGCGAAGGCAGGUCUCUGGGCUGUAACUGACGCUGAGGAGCGAAAGCAUGGGGAGCGAACAGGAUUAGAUACCCUGGUAGUCCAUGCCGUAAACGUUGGGCACUAGGUGUGGGGACCAUUCCACGGUUUCCGCGCCGCAGCUAACGCAUUAAGUGCCCCGCCUGGGGAGUACGGCCGCAAGGCUAAAACUCA